GGGGAUAUAGCUAACUGGUAGAGCACUUGCCUAACAUGUGCAAGAGCCUAGGUUCAAUCCCAAGCACCUCA
rnacentral:tRNA from 1 species